rnacentral:rRNA from 1 species
CACGUAGGGGCGAGCGUUGUCCGGAAUUACUGGGCGUAAAGGGCGCGCAGGCUGUUAUGCGAGUCUGCUGUGAAAUGUACCGGCUCGACCGGUGCCUUGCGGCGGAUACUGCAUAGCUGGAGUACUGGAGAGGGAAGUGUAAUUCCCGGUGUAGCGGUGAAAUGCGUAGAGAUCGGGAGGAACAUCGAUGGCGAAGGCAGCCAUCUGGACCAGCACUGACGCUGAGGCACGAAAGCGUGGGGAGGCAAACA